AACAGACGAAGAAGACGGACAGAGAAAAGGGUUGCCUUUAGAUUUGGAUACCUCCUGAACCUAUUUAACUAUGGAAGUGUCUAUAGCUGACGAAACCAUCGAGGAGCUGUUACGAUGCAUUCGGCCAACUAUGGACUCAGAAGAAAAGAGGACAUGUGUCUUUGAGUACAUACAAAAACUGAUUAAAACCUCGCUUGGACACGAGGUAUUUCCAUAUGGCUCUGGGCCUUUGAAAACCUAUCUGCCAGACGGGGACAUUGACCUGACUGUGGUUUCCAAUCCUGAUUG